rnacentral:lncRNA from 1 species
AUGCAAACUGUGCCUUUGACACUUUCCAAUCUGGCUUUCGUUUCCAUCACAGCACAGAAAAGGCAUUAAUCAAGGUUGUAAAUUACUGUAAAUCUGUAAUUGCCCUGGAUCUGAGUGCAGCUUUUGACACUGUAGACCAUGAUAUCCUUAUUAAAAGACUUGAAAAUGGGGUUGGCCUCGCUGGUCUAGUCCUAAACUGGUUUAGGACCUAUCUAACUGGCCGGGAAUACUUUGUCACCCUUGAAGACCACAGCUCAAAAAACAUUUGUAUGACCUGUGGGGUCCCUCAAGGAUCCAUUUUAGGGCCCUUACUUUUUAGUCUUUACAUGUUACCCCUUGGUAGUGUCAUUAGGAGGCACAACAUCAAUUAUCAUAGCUAUGCAGAUCACACCAGCUCUAUAUUUCUGUAACACCCAACAAUUACAGCUCUAUUGAUUGCUUGGUAAUUGCAUUGCUGAUAUAAAUGUAUGGAUGUCACAAAACUUUGUCCAGAUGUUGGUAUACGACCCGAUUCCCCAGAAGUGUUUAUUCCAGUUACGUCAAUCACAGAACAAUUCUGAUGGUCUGUCAUUGAACGGGUCCUUCAUUAGUUAAGUUAGGGCUGUUGCCUUUUUUUAAUGUUGUGUCACAGUAAAGCUGCCGGUGAACCGUAGAUUAAUAUCAACCGAAUUACACUUCUAGUCGAAAAUGUCGUGUAUUUAAUCGCUAGUGGUAAAUAUAAUUUGCACAUCUCAAACAUGCAUCAUCGAUGGGACAAAUAUAGGCCUACUGUCUAUGUAAACUGGUGUGUGUGUGUGUGUGUGUGUGUGUGUGUGUGUGUGUGCUUCCUCAGCAGUGUGUACCUGAAGAGGCCAGCAGAUGUUCUUGUGAUCUAAAGAGAACAGAAGUCCAGAGAGGCACCAGACCCCUACAUCAGGACUGCACCACGCAGACACCAUGGAGAGGACAUGCGGGCCUGCUGCCCCCCUCUCUCCUCCCCCCGUGGCUCUGCCCAAAGCAGACUCACCCGCGGGCACGCUUGCCCCUCCUCCACCGAAAGAGAGUGGAACAGCUAGUGCAUUACUUCCGAGAUACAGCGUGCCUCAAAUUCUACCGCCUUCCAGAGCCGCACCCAAUCUCCACUCACCUCAGGGUGCACUAGUCGCCCCCAGCGCCCCCCAGGAAAAGUGCAGUGGGGGGGUCGCCGCUGUCGUCCGUCCACAGAAGCCCCAGUCCUGCCCUCCAUCCUGCCCAGACCCCCCCUCGCCGGACCUCGCCGCACCCCAGCCCCCCCACCACCACCUGCUCGACUCAGCCACGGGACCCCAGCUCCACGGAAAGAGGGGCCGCCUGGGCGCCCACCCGAAAACGGAGCUCGCUCAAAGGAGACCGGCUCUGGCCCCCACCGAGAGAGACUGGCCUGUGGCCUCCCCCCCCCACCGGAGCGCCCCUCACCCCAACGCACGGGCCGCAUCAGCGCCACCCCUGCCCACGGAGAGGGGGGGUCAGAGGCCCAGACAGCUGCCCCCUCCAUCCCGAGGCCUCCCCUGCUUCAGCACGGCCCCCGAGGCCUGUCUGCCCGCCCCGGGCCCCACCCCCGGCCCCACCCCCGCCCUCGCCACGGCGCGCUCCUCUCUGGCGCCCCCCCGAGGCUACAGGCAGAACCGCCUCAACUCUCCCCCCGCCGCCUGCCCCCCCGCUAGAGACCUGGAGAACGGCUCGCCACACACACACGCUCAGGCACCGCUCACGCUCAACUCACGCCUCCCCAAGCCAAAGAGCCACUGA